AGCGGAGGAAAAGAAACUAACAAGGAUUCCCCUAGUAACUGCGAGUGAAGCGGGAAAAGCUCAAAUUUAAAAUCUGGCGGUUUUGGCCGUCCGAGUUGUAGUCUGGAGAAGUGCUUUCUGUGCUGGACCGUGUACAAGUCUCUUGGAACAGAGCGUCAUAGAGGGUGAGAAUCCCGUCUUUGACACGGACUACCAGUGCUUUGUGAUGCGCUCUCAAAGAGUCGAGUUGUUUGGGAAUGCAGCUCAAAAUGGGUGGUGAAUUCCAUCUAAAGCUAAAUAUUGGCGAGAGACCGAUAGCGAACAAGUACCGUGAGGGAAAGAUGAAAAGCACUUUGGAAAGAGAGUUAAACAGUACGUGAAAUUGCUAAAAGGGAAACGCUUGAAGUCAGUCGCGUUGUCCGAAACUCAGCCUUGCCUUGGCUUGGUGUAUUUUUCGGUUAACGGGUCAGCAUCGAUUUUGACCGAUGGAUAAAGGUCAGGGGAAUGUGGCACCUUCGGGUGUGUUAUAGCCUUUGAUUGUAUACAUCGGUUGGGAUCGAGGAACUCAGCUUCGGCUUAGGAUGCUGGCAUAAUGGCUUUAAACGACCCGUCUUGAAACACGGACCAAGGAGUCUAACAUGCCCGCGAGUGUUUGGGUGGUAAACUCAGGCGCGCAAUGAAAGUGAAUGUUGAGACCUCUGUCGUGGAGGGCAUCAACGCCCGGACCUGACGUUCUCUGACGGCUCCGCGGUAGAGCGUGUAUGUUGGGACCCGAAAGAUGGUGAACUAUGCCUGAAUAGGGUGAAGCCAGAGGAAACUCUGGUGGAGGCUCGUAGCGAUUCUGACGUGCAAAUCGAUCGUCAAAUUUGGGUAUAGGGGCGAAA
rnacentral:rRNA from 1 species